AGCGAGGUGGUGCAGUGGUUAGCACACUCGACUCGCAUUCGGGAGGACGGUGGUUCAAAUCCACGCCCGGCCA